UCCACCACUUAAAUGUAGAGGUAGGCUUGCCUUAAGUGUGCAACAAAUUAAAGGGGCCUUUGAAGGUGUAGAAGGUAUUGAUGGCCCACCCUCAACGGUCGGUAUCAUUGGCAAGAAAAUUCUCCUACAAGAACUUCCAAUUUGUGCCAUUAGCCCUAAAUUGGAGCUAGAUGCCAAGUGAUUGAAGAGAAAGAUCGAGGAAGAGAGGAUGUUGAAGAAGAUGCUAAGGGCAACAGGGUUAAUGCCAUCCUUGUGGUAGGGAGAA
rnacentral:lncRNA from 1 species